UUAAUUAUAUUUUUGUGUUUGACAAGCCUUUCGGACCUGUGCCUACGUAUCAACAUAAAAAUGAGGGAUCAAAACCUCGUAGUUCGUGAUACAAAAUUCAAAGUGGAUGCAUUGCUUUUAACAAAAAUUAAAUUUGAAAGGAACAAAGGCCUAAAAAUGGUUUGAAUGAGUUAAUUAUUUUUGGCUUUUUGAAAGUUUAAGUCAAG
rnacentral:lncRNA from 1 species